GACGAACGCUGGCGGCGUGCCUAAUACAUGCAAGUAGAACGCUGAAGGAGGAGCUUGCUUCUCCGGAUGAGUUGCGAACGGGUGAGUAACGCGUAGGUAACCUGCCUGGUAGCGGGGGAUAACUAUUGGAAACGAUAGCUAAUACCGCAUAACAGUAGAUAUCGCAUGAUAUCUGCUUGAAAGGUGCAAUUGCAUCACUACCAGAUGGACCUGCGUUGUAUUAGCUAGUUGGUGAGGUAACGGCUCACCAAGGCGACGAUACAUAGCCGACCUGAGAGGGUGAUCGGCCACACUGGGACUGAGACACGGCCCAGACUCCUACGGGAGGCAGCAGUAGGGAAUCUUCGGCAAUGGACGGAAGUCUGACCGAGCAACGCCGCGUGAGGGAAGAAGGUUUUCGGAUCGUAAAGCUCUGUUGUAAGAGAAGAACGAGUGUGAGAGUGGAAAGUUCACACUGUGACGGUAUCUUACCAGAAAGGGACGGCUAACUACGUG
rnacentral:rRNA from 1 species